UACGGAGGGUGCGAGCGUUAAUCGGAAUUACUGGGCGUAAAGCGCACGUAGGCGGUCUGUUAAGCUGGAUGUGAAAGCCCCGGGCUCAACCUGGGAAUUGCACUCAGAACUGGCAGACUAGAGUACAGUAGAGGUGAGUGGAAUUUCCUGUGUAGCGGUGAAAUGCGUUGAUAUAGGAAGGAACAUCAGUGGCGAAGGCGACUCACUGGACUGAUACUGACGCUGAGGUGCGAAAGCGUGGGGAGCAAACAGG
rnacentral:rRNA from 1 species